rnacentral:rRNA from 1 species
UGGGGAAUAUUGGACAAUGGGCGCAAGCCUGAUCCAGCAAUGCCGCGUGUGUGAAGAAGGCCUUCGGGUUGUAAAGCACUUUUAUCAGGAGCGAAACGCUGUCGGCUAAUACCCGGCGGAACUGACGGUACCUGAGGAAUAAGCACCGGCUAACUUCGUGCCAGCAGCCGCGGUAAUACGAAGGGUGCAAGCGUUAAUCGGAAUUACUGGGCGUAAAGCGUGCGUAGGCGGUUUCUUAAGUCCGCUGUGGAAUCCCCGGGCUCAACCUGGGAAUGGCAGUGGAUACUGGGAGGCUAGAGUGUGUCAGAGGGUGGUGGAAUUCCCGGUGUAGCGGUGAAAUGCGUAGAGAUCGGGAGGAACAUCAGUGGCGAAGGCGGCCACCUGGGACAACACUGACGCUGAGGCACGAAAGCGUGGGGAGCAAACAGGAUUAGAUACCCUGGUAGUCCACGCCCUGAACGAUGCGAACUGGAUGUUGGUCUCAACUCGGAGAUCAGUGUCGAAGCUAACGCGUUAAGUUCGCCGCCCUGGGGAGUACGGUCGCAAGACUGAAACUUAAAGGAA